AAACAUAACCUUUAGCCAAACAAAUAUUAAAGGCACGCCUGCCCAGUGAACAAUUAAACGGCCGCGGUACCCUAACCGUGCAAAGGUAGCAUAAUCAUUUGUCUACUAAUUAUAGACCUGCAUGAAAGGCAAAAUGAGGGUUUAACUGUCUCUUAUAAUGAAUCAAUUAAACUGAUCUCCUAGUAAAAAAGCUAGAAUUUACACAUAAGACCAGAAGACCCUGUGAAGCUUAAACUAAAUUAUUAAACCAAAUAAUAACCGCUUUCGGUUGGGGCGACCUUGGAAAAAAAAAGAACUUCCAAAACAUGACUAUUUACGUCAUCCUAGGCCUACAAGCCAAUAAACGAACCAGCACAGCUGAUCACCGAACCAAGUUACUCCAGGGAUAACAGCGCAAUCCUCUUCAAGAGCCCAUAUCAAAAAGAGGGUUUACGACCUCGAUGUUGGAUCAGGACAUCCUAAUGGUGCAGCCGCUAUUAAGGGUUCGUUUGUUCAACGAUUAAUAGUCCU
rnacentral:rRNA from 1 species